AUAUAAGUGAUGCAUAUUAUUUAUGGGCUUACCUUCGAUUUACAUAAAGUGUAUUUUGAAAUUACUUAAAGAAACAAAAAAAUAAUACUCAUAUAUUAGAGUACAUUUCUCACUUAUUACUUUCUUUUUAAGAAAAAUAAACCAGCAUAAUUUUAUUUGCUUGUAUUUAAGCAUUUAAAUUUGGGUAGAGAACUGUGACGCUCUUUUUUUCAGUCUCUGAAAAGGGGGUGUUACAAUUAGUGGUAUCAGAGCUGGUCGAGUCUUUCGGGAGUCUUUGGGGAAUAGGUUCN
rnacentral:lncRNA from 1 species